rnacentral:rRNA from 1 species
UGGCUCAGGACGAACGCUGGCGGCGCGCUUAAUACAUGCAAGUCGAACGAGAAGCCAGAGCUUGCUCUGGUGGAAAGUGGCGAACGGGUGAGUAACACGUGAGAAACCUGCCCCAAAGAUUGGGAUAAGCCUUGGAAACGAGGUCUAAUACCAAAUACCUUCCUUUUAACACAUGUUAAAAAGAAGAAAUGCUCCGGCGCUUUGGGAUGGUCUCGCGAUCUAUCAGCUUGUUGGUGAGGUAACGGCUCACCAAGGCAUCGACGGAUAGCUGGUCUGAGAGGAUGUCCAGCCACAUUGGAACUGAGACACGGUCCAAACUCCUACGGGAGGCAGCAGUAGGGAAUCUUGCACAAUGAGGGAAACCUUGAUGCAGCGACGCCGCGUGCGGGACGAAGGCCCUAGGGUUGUAAACCGCUUUCAGUAGGGACGAAAGUGACGGUACCUACAGAAGAAGCCCCGGCCAACUAUGUG